CGAGGCCCUGUGUGAUGAGAGCCCGGGCUUUGGGCUUGAGAGAGCGGAUCUCAGAGAUGACAGCUUGGGGUUCGAGCUUCAGAGCUGAGAAGAUGUCAUUAAUGGCUUCCUGUGGGGGAGAGGCAAGCAGGCGGUAGGGACACAUUCCAUGGGUGGAGCAGCCAGCAGUCAGUAUCACCUCAUGACAGACAUGGCUCAGAUGGCUUUGUUCCAGACUCUACACUGAAGUUGCAGCCUCCAUCUGGGCCAAAGUGUUUUCAUGGCCACCAGGUUCCAGAUGCCAGCAUGAUGCCGACCAGACUUCCCUGGACAGACGACCUCACCAAUGUGUCCUGGAGCUCUACUUCCCCAGAGCCCCACACUACUAGGGAAAGAGAGAGGCAGGCUGGGAGUAUGGAGCUACCAGUCAACUCCCAUGUUCAGCAGGGAAGCAACUACAGAAGCCAGACCUUCCACCUUCUCACCCCACAAUGACCUUGGGUCCAUACUCCCGGAGGGAUAAAGAAUAGGAAAGCUAUCAGGGGAGGGGAUGGGAUACGGAGACCUGGUGGUGGGAAUUGUGUGGAGUUGUACCCCUCUUAUCCUAUGGUUUUGUUGAUG